rnacentral:rRNA from 1 species
GACGAACGCUGGCGGCGUGCUUAACACAUGCAAGUCGAACGGUGAAGCGCCUUCCUUUUUGGUGGGUGUGGAUGAGUGGCGAACGGGUGAGUAACACGUGAGUAACCUGCCCCCUUCUUCUGGAUAACCGCAUGAAAGUGUGGCUAAUACGGGAUAUUCUGGGUCUGUCGCAUGAUGGGUCUGGGAAAGAUAUUGUUUCGGUGGGGGAUGGGCUCGCGGCCUAUCAGCUUGUUGGUGGGGUGAUGGCCUACCAAGGCGGUGACGGGUAGCCGGCCUGAGAGGGUGGACGGCAACACUGGGACUGAGACACGGCCCAGACUCCUACAGGAGGCAGCAGUGAGGAAUAUUGCACGAUGGGCGCAAGCCUGAUGCAGCGACGCCGCGUGAGGGAUGGAGGCCUUCGGGUUGUGAACCUCUUUCGCCAGUGAAGCAGGCCUGCCUCGUUUGUGGGUGGGUUGACGGUAGCUGGAUAAGAAGCGCCGGCUAACUACGUG